rnacentral:lncRNA from 1 species
AGUCCUUUGGAUGCACCAUGAGGGCCUGUUCACUCUGUGCUCUAUAAGUUCCUUGGGUAGAUGAAGAGGAGGAAGAAGAAGAAAGUGACCUCUGCACAACACCAACUGAACCCCAGUCCUCCACCUAUGAUCCAGCGCAGUCAAUAAGCAGUGUAAUAAAAUCAUAACAGAUUGCCUGAUGAUACAGCUACACAUGGAUACAAAGACUCUAAAUGCAUAGAAGAACCUCAUGGAACUUUUUUUAAAACUUGUCCUGUCUGCAGCCAGGUAUCAAAUUUCAAAAGUCAAAAAGGCCACUCUGCCAAGUACGGAACUUACAGUGUGAUGAAUCUGAAGACCAACAGCAUCAUCAACAUUCAACGAAUACAGGUAAGUGUGUUCGUGGAUGCAAGAUAAAUAGUUAUCAAUGCACAUCUUAUCAGUGUCUCUUUUUUCUUUCACUCUCACAAAUACUUUUACACA